UUGUUGCUUAUACAUGAAGGUCUCUAUUUAGCGACAGCCUUUUUCGAAAUUGAUACCGAUUGCAUGUUAGUUUUUUUCAGAAUGAAACGUAUCCUUGACUGAUCAAUAAAUGACAUCCUUAACAAUCGACCACUGACAGUUGUGUAACUGCACUAUGUUUGAGACAGAUAACUAUACUUAUCGACCGAUACAGAUCCCAUACCUCGUAUAUGAUAACAAAGUGUCAUUUUAAGUGUCCACAAAUGAAUGAAACACUAAAGACGAUGUCUUGAGAAAUGUCAAACAUAUUUUGUCAACACACAGACGUGACGGCAAAGGAAAGCUCACAGAACACGACCAUAUGUUUUCCCACAAAAACGGUACUCUUUAACAAGGUUGACAAGAAUAAAGUACCCUUCAUCAGAGAUUCUUUCUUUCAGAGUGGUAGGCAAGUGGUAUAUCAAAGCAACAUUCAGAACUGCAUGCUUCAGGCAUAACCUACCAUCCUUUAGAAGGUCAAGUAGUGGCAAAUACCAUCGAGUUUCGCUGCCAAAUGAAAUCGAGCCCGAGUUUUUAUUACACAGUUCAUGCUUUGUUUCUCAAUAGGCGUCUUCAUGAAGAUCUUAAACCCUUACUGAAACAGCAACAUAACGCGACCGAGAUCUAUAAGGAACAUAUAUCCACUAAGAAGCUCAAGGAUUAAACUGAAAUCUGUCGAGGGCCUUGUAUCCAUGGUUUAGUCCUAGACAAGAACCGCUUUCUACUCAGUGAACUCAGCGCUACUACCGAGCUCAUUGGUGCUCAUGCAGUUACUUGGUAUGAACUGAUCGUACAGCCAUCAAUAGAUUAUCACGGAUACAUUUACUGUCAGCCAGGAUUAUCAAGGUCUGGAUCCCUCGGUUAACUACUUUAUUUUCACUAAUACGAUCUCGCCCAACCAAGACAAUAGCGUACUGUUCAAGGAAUUUCGAGGCCCUAGACAUUCCUUUCGUACAAAGGGGGUGCAAAGACUUCUGGUGAUGAAUUUUCCUUGAUAACAUUCGUGGAUCUAUGCUUUUCGAGAACUAUACUAAUAUAAUAGCGACUUUAUAACUAGGGACUGUAUAUUUCAGAGCAUCUGCACGUCUAACAUUAGUUGCAAAGUACUUCAAAGAAAAAGUGGAUUACACAACCACAAUAAUCUGAAAUUAUCUAUUUGCGUCUUAGAGACUAAGCUGUUAACGCAUUGUGCUAUAGAAGCAUGAUAAGGUUCCUCACCGCGCAACAAAGGUUUCAGGUAGUCACUACUUCAUCAGUUUCCUCAACGCCAGUUAAGCGUAGUAAAAGUAUUAUUAUCAAUUCUACAAGUUCUAGAAAUAUCGUGAAGUCUUUAAUAGUUCUCAUCGACAUUCCACAGUAAGUGCAGGUAUUUACUAUUUGUCAGAACAAAUAUUUCGUCCCCGUCGUGGUUUCUGCUUUUCAGGACGGGGUUUGAGGGCCCGUACGAUCGUCGCAUGCAGAAGCAAUGUUCAUGUGACGCAGUUAUAAAUCUAUGUAGAACAAAUUCAUGGUUUUAUGUUUUAAAAUAACACACCCAUUUUAUUUCUUUCAACAAGUUCGCAGGUUCAAAUGGGAUUCAAACAACUGAAAAGAGAGAUUACUAUCAGUUUUUCAAACAGUGUUUACUCAUUCCUCAUGGAAGGAAUUGAACCUUUGUUAAUAUUCCAUUUAUUACUUUAAGUAAUUACAAUCAACCUUACCUUAGACAUAUUUAACUAUUACCGAUUUUAAGUGCGUGUCAAACUGUGUCAGUUGUGACCCGACAUACGCACUUAAAUUUGUUUUACAUUUCACAACCCUAUUGGAUAUUAAAAGGGCCUUUAAUUUCCGCCGGACAAAUAAAUCUGUAAAUCACUUCCA
rnacentral:lncRNA from 1 species